CCCAACGAGAUCGGGAUAACACCUGGAAACAGAUGCUAAUACCGGAUAACAAUAGAUGAUGCCUAUCAACUGUUUAAAAGAUGGUUCUGCUAUCACUCUUGGAUGGACCUGCGGUGCAUUAGCUAGUUGGUAGGGUAACGGCCUACCAAGGCGAUGAUGCAUAGCCGAGUUGAGAGACUGAUCGGCCACAUUGGGACUGAGACACGGCCCAAACUCCUACGGGAGGCAGCAGCA
rnacentral:rRNA from 1 species